GAUAAAGUGGCCGAGAUCAGGCGGUAAAUUGUAAAUUUACAUACGAAAUCUAAUUUCCUUUAUCA
rnacentral:tRNA from 1 species